rnacentral:lncRNA from 1 species
CAUCAUAAGGGAUUACAAAGUAAGCUGAAGGCAGCUGGCCUAACACUAUGGCAGGACUAGUACUAGUAUUACAAUUCAUAAUAGCAGUGGGCACAACAGGCCCUACAAAAGAUGAACUAGUUGUAACAACUUCCAAAACUUUUUAACACUAGGUGGAGGGGUAAUCCAGACAACAAAGAGCUUAUUUUGAGGUAGCUUAAGUCCUUCUUUGGCCAGGUGAUCAGCUACUCCAUUAGCUUGACGUGGUUCAUGCUUCAUCUGCGGGUUCCUCAGGCUGAGGAAAAGAUCCCUGCAUGACAGAACAAGACUGUUAUUAAGAGUGUCCUUAGAAUGAAGCACAUUUAUUACCUCCAAAGUGUUUGUCGCGAUUUCCAGCUGUGAAACCUGCAUGCUGCGAGCUAAUAAAAGGCCAUAAAAUAAGCUUGAAAAUUCUUCCUCUAAUGGUGGUGAGACAUUGAGUUUAGCACUAAAACCCUAACCUAACCUAUCAUCUCAUUUGGUCUCUAAAGCUCCCACCUGCACCUCCUAUUUCAGUAAGGUGAUUGAAGGAACCAUCAAUAUUGAGCUUUAGCCCUUUAUCUGGAGGAACCCAGAUUGUCGGUGAAAGGUUGGGGACAGAACGCGUAUUUGCAGUUAGGCAGUGAAAUUCUACAGCCCUUUCAAAGGGUGUGGAGAUGGAAAUAUGAAUUUUCUAUUUAUUGUGGUGAUU